GCGAAAAUUCGUGCAUCCGCAAUCCGAUUUCAAUAAGUGUGUAUGUGGAUAUAUAGACAGGUGGCUGCUUAUAUACAUCAGGUAAGCCCUUUUUCAAUUUUUGGUUGCUUAUAAUUUACUUUUCUUAGGGAUACGUGUCCAUGCGCGCAUAAUUUGCAGUUUAAUGAAAAGCGUGACAUUUUAUUGUAUUUAUUCAGCGAUUAUUUUAUAUGGGCGUUUAUAAGUAAUAAGCUGACAGCAGAAAACAUAGUCUACAUCAGAGUUGGACCCCGAUAUCAAACCUCAAUGGAGGAUUGCCUUCAUCAUCAUCAUGGUUAAACGGUCGCAAGCGCCGUAGCUUUAUUAUUAUAAUACCUAUAUAAUAUCUUAGAUUUAUUGAUGGGAAGUAGGUAGAGGAUAAUGCCGUUGCGAUAAAUAAGAUAACAUUGUGAAUAUUAUGUAUUACACCAACUUUAGCUAUAUCUAUAUUAAGAAAAGGCUUAUCAUAUAACCUUCAUAUCAAUUACAGCUAUUAAGAAAAGUUUCGUAUGGGGCUAAAUCAAUAUUUUUCUUGAAUCAAAGUUUAUGUGCCGAUAAUACCUGUGAUAAGGCAAGCUUCUUAAAUCAAAUUGAUACACUUGGGGCAGCACCUUCAUAAUACGUGUAAGCAUACGAUUUAAAACAGAUGUGUUAUUAAUUCCUGCAAUCAAAGUGCUAGGAUAUAAAUUUUUAUUACUCUAGUUAGAAUAGUGCUGUUAUAUAAACUCUCACAAAUUUUGUUAAUUUUUCUUGGAUUUAAGUUUAUAUGGUGAUAAUACCCGUGCUAAGGCAGGCUUCUUAAUCCCGAACAGGAUAGAGAUGGACGUUGGGUGGGAGGAGGUGCCUCAAGACUUGUUUACGGGAGAAAGGAAGCUAACUUUAUGUACUGUUAAUAUCUAUGAUACGACACGCUUCUUAAAUCAAAUUGAUACACUUUGAGCAGUACCUUCAUAAUACGUGUAAGCGUACGAUUUAAAACAGAUGUGUUAUUAAUUCUAGCAAUCAAAGUUAUAGGAUAUAAAUUUUUUAUAGCUCGAGUUAAUGUAAUGCUAUAGAUUUCGCUGCUGUUUAAAGUUUAACAAGUUUUCGCAAUUUUUCUUGGGAACUAAGUUUAUGUGCUGAUAAUAUCUGUGAUAAGGCAAGCUUCUUAAUUCCAAACUAGGAUAGAGAUGCUUCUGGCGCCUUAAGACUUUUUACGAGAGAAAGGAUAACACCGUAUAGCAUUAUGGAUAAAUACCUAACCACUGCAUCUUAUUAUUUUAGGUAAGAGCUUAGAACACGGAUACAAUCAUAAUCUAUGCAGUGGGGCGGAUAAGAAAAACAGAACAAAAUUUAACAGGUUUAUUAAUUCUGGAAAAAAAAUAUUCAUUGAAGUAUACAUUAUAAUUGAAAUGAUAACACUUACAUAGAACACCCAAUAGGUGUGUUUGAGUUCCAGGUCUUUAAAGACCUGGAACCUCGUUCCCUGGAAGUCAUCUUCCUCAAUCUUUACGGAGCCGGGGAUUGUUCCCCGACCCCGUAAAAUCGCAACAUGUUCCUAAAUAAGAGCUAAUUAAAAUACGGUAUGAUGCAUGAAAAGUACUUACAGAUCCAUAUUUUUCUAUUAGAUGUGUUCGGAGUUCUCGUUCUACAAAUAUAUGGUUAAACGUGUGAUAGAUAUGCGGUGUAUUUACCAUAGGCCGUUUGCACGCCUCCGAAGACGAUGGCCGCACCUUGAGCUGAAAAAUUACAUACAUUAAGUUUGAUGAAAAAUAGAAAAGAGCUCAUUCUUACCCGCCAUCCUCGUAACAAAUGCCUAUCAAACGAUUUCUAGGAGGAGUUUUAUUUAUUGCUAUCCAUUUAGACAGGAAACCUGCACAGAUUGCAUAGCUAUGUGACAAACGAGGUCAUAGGAAGCUUGAUACAAAGGGGGUAUGCAGAUAAACAUUCAAUAAAAAUUUAUAUCCUUCACUCAUCAUAUUCAAUAUCGCCAUACCUGAUAUUAUAUAGGUAAAACAGUUGGUACAGGCCGGUGAUAGAUUUAUAUUAUUAUCGAUCAAAGCACCCUAUUAGUUUUGAAAAUGCGUACGUAUGCUCGUAGGUAGUGUAUUAUUGUAGAAGGAGGUCUACUUUGAAGGUGAUGCGAUAAACUUGAAUACAUACUUUUCGUUUCAUUGACCAAUUCCAUAUACCUUUUGAGUAUUACCUCAACCUAUUCAAAAGCCGGCUGUUUCACUACAUCGACUAUCGUUAUGCCCUAGAGAUGAGUAGAUUUUAAAUUUUGCUAUAACUAAAGUUUAACGAUACCUAUAUUCUAUUAUUUACUCACGAGCUGCCGCCAUUGAUAAUUUCGUAAAGCGUAGCUGAUGAAAUAAUUAGCUUAAGAUUACGACCCAAGGACACCUAUAUAGUUGCAUUGUUUUAAUAGGAAAAGCAUAAAUUCUUUCUAGAAAUUUUGCGGGACAUGAUAGUUAGACUCGAGGAUAUAUAGGUGCAAGACUAACAGGAAACCGUUAGAACUUGUAGGCGUUUAAGCCAAAGGUGUCAUAUUGAUAACAAUAGAACCGAAGAAGCGCGUUAUCUAUAAAAUUGCAUUGGAUGAUGUGACCGCUUUAUACUGAAUAAUACUAUAAUUUUGAUUUUACAUAAUCAGGUAUUUGUGUAAAAGCGCUCCGGAUUUGCCGAAAGAGCUUGCAAUUUAUAAUGGAAAGCAGGUGGCUUAGGUACAACGGCAAGCUACCUGGUUAAUUCAUAACCAUCACGGAAUUAAAUGGGAGCAUGGUCAUACGCCAUCCUACAUGUUUCCAACUAUACUUCGCCAGUUAAUAUCAUCAUCAGACCAAGUAUACGUUCAAGGAAAAGAAAAAGUCGAUUUCAUUCGAAAAACUCUAUCGCAAAAUGUCGCCGAGGUGGAAGAAGAACCAGCUUUACCUAAAUUAGAAGCAUGUUGCUACUAUCAUGUACGCUCACUUUGCUGUUGCGCUUUAUCUAACGUUUAUUAUAUUUAUAAUACUCAUGUAAUUCAGUAAUUUUCCAAAUAAAACAACCAAAUUCAA